AAUUGAUUUAAACUCAACCGUCUCUUCUUCAGAAUCUUCCCGCUGGCUGCCACCAUCACCACAUCCUCCUUGAAGUUCUUAGGAAUUGGACUUCAGACUUCUUCUGGACUUCUGAAGUUGGCAGAAUGGGAGCAACUUUGUCACAACCUUGUCUCCAGAGGCAAGACCAGGCCAAACCAGCUUGUAACUAAUUCUAUUUACUGUAAAAAGACUCAUCAAUCAAGCAACAAGUAUUUUCUCUAUGACCGGCAUUGUUCUGGGUGCUGAAGAAGAUACCAAUGUAACCCUAGACUCUCUGGGCCUCAUUAUCACCUAUAAGAAUGUCUAAAAAGAAAAAGACUGACCCUACCAAGCAUUGAUGGUGAUGGAGGAGAAAUAGGAUUUUUAUACACUGCUGAUGGGAAUGCAAAAUGGUACAAACACUUUGGGGAACAAUUUGACAGGUUCAUAAAAAGCCAAACAUGUAACUACCAUAUGAUCUAGCCCUUCCACUACCAGGUUUUUAUCUACCCUCAUGGAAUAAAAGCAUGGGUUUCUACCAGUAUUCCUACAGGAAUAUUCAUAGCAACAUUAUUUGUCAUUACUAAAAAUGGAAACAAUGCAAUGUCA